AGUGAGCCUAUGCCUAUGGACUGUGAGCUUCGCAUGGGCUUCUCGUUCUUCUUUCCUUAUGUGGGGCAGGAUGACUAGAAUGGGCUUCAGUUGGGUAUUUCCCUUUCCCUAAGUCAGUUAGGUUCUGAUAAAACCCCAGCAGAUAAGGCUCUAGUUACACAGUUACACCUGUGGGCAGACGUUAAGAAGAACAGUGCUGAGAUAUUUCAAAAUGGUUCCUUUUCCUCUCUCCCUGCUGGAAGCUUGAGGAUUUUUCUCCUAUAUUUACUGUGAGAAUCUGGCUGAGCUCCUGGAGGUGAAACUCACAGUAGUGUGGUGGGCCCACCUAUGACUGGAUACUCUUGGAGUUUUUAAUUCUUGGACUUGUCCACAGUGAACCUCCAGCAAUUUGUCAGUUACAGUUGAAGUUUUCCUCUCCCGGGACCCGUUCUGGAGGAGGUUUCAGCUCUUGAGUUUUGCUUGGCCUAUGCUGAGCAAGGAACUAUUAUUAGUGUUGGUGAUACCAAAAUUUGAAGACAAAAUUGCCUGUCACUGUGGAGCUUCCAGUCCUUCUAGUUGUGGCAUGUGGGACCCUGCCUCAACAUCCCAUGACGAGUGGUGCCAUGUCUGCACCCAGGAUUCGAACUAGUGAAACCCUGGGCCGCUGCAGCAGAGUGCUCAAACUUAACCAGUUGGCCACUGGGCUGGCCCCCAAAUAAUUUCUUAAGAUGACAAAUUAGUGCUGUUGUUUGUGUAAGUUUUGCUUGAGUUAGCUACAAAUGAUGAAUAAAUAAAUGGAAACAUUGUUUAGGAAAAUUGAUUUGAAUAAAACUAUCUUACUAGUCACCAUACCUGGGCCCAUGUAACCAACAGGUAAACAGAAAAAGCAGCUGUAGGAAGACACAGGCAGAAUGUUGUUGAUUCUGAUUUUGGCAGCCGGAGGAACACCCUGAAGCGUUAGACCGGAAGACGUCACUGAGGCAGGAAUGUUGGAAGGAGAACAUGCCCUUCCCACAGAAAGCGGACAACAGAGCUGCUUAAUAUUCAGUUCAGAUUAAAAUGUGUAGUGCACAGAGUUAAGCAUAUUAAAUAAUUCAAAAGGGACGAGAGUCAGGAAAGAGGGCCUCUUCCUUUUUAUUGGAGUAAGAUUAAUGUCUUUUUAUCAUAAGAAAAGGACUCUGAGUAAAACACUCAAAAAGACCUGUCACCCCCUGCAGCUGGUGAAAUGCUUCUGCAGCCAGAAAAAAGACAAAUGAUGCAUAGAUCAGAGGGGGUCAAGAAAUGAUAGAAUAAAUCUCCGGCAAGAAGGAUAAUUUAAAUGAAGACGAAGAAAUAUUUAUUUCAGAAGCUUAAUACGCAGGGGUGUUAUCAAUUUUUGGUAAUGAGGCCACACUUGGAGACAAUAUACAGGAUGGUUACAGGCAGGGACUGUGGCAUCCGCUUGCUGGUAUCUACAUCCAUGAUAGUCCUGAGCUGUUUUCCAGUAAGUCCUGUGUAUAUAUUAGCUCUCAUUUUUCGUUUUAAAGUAAAGGUCACGAUGCCUAAAUUAUAUGUGUAUCAUAAACCUGAGAAGAACAUCGAUCUCACCUAUAUUUUAUACCUAUCCCAAAUUCUGACAUGUGGUAGGUAUUCAAUACUUAUUCAGUGAAUGAACAGAUGGGUUAUGUUAUAUAAGAUUUCAGCAAACGAGAUAUUGUGUUUACA
rnacentral:lncRNA from 1 species